rnacentral:rRNA from 1 species
GACGAACGCUGGCGGCGUGCCUAAUACAUGCAAGUUGAGCGCUGAAGGUUGGUACUUGUACCAACUGGAUGAGCAGCGAACGGGUGAGUAACGCGUGGGGAAUCUGCCUUUGAGCGGGGGACAACAUUUGGAAACGAAUGCUAAUACCGCAUAAAAACUUUAAACACAAGUUUUAAGUUUGAAAGAUGCAAUUGCAUUACUCAAAGAUGAUCCCGCGUUGUAUUAGCUAGUUGGUGAGGUAAAGGCUCACCAAGGCGAUGAUACAUAGCCGACCUGAGAGGGUGAUCGGCCACAGUGGGACUGAGACACGGCCCAAACUCCUACGGGAGGCAGCAGUAGGGAAUCUUCGGAAAUGGACGAAAGUCUGACCGAGCAACGCCGCGUGAGUGAAGAAGGUUGUCGGAUCGUAAAACUCGGUUGGUAGAGAAGAACGUUGGUGAGAGUGGAAAGCUCAUCAAGUGACGGUAACUACCCAGAAAGGGACGGCUAACUACGUG